UACGUAGGAGACGAGCGUUGUCCGGAAUUACUGGCGUAAAGCGCGUGUAGGCGGAUGAGCAAGUCUGCUGUGAAAGCUCCUGGCUUAACCGGGAGUGGUCGGUGGAAACUGCUCGUCUGGAGGACGGUAGAGGUAGGUAGAAUUCCCGGUGUAGUGGUGAAAUGCGUAGAGAUCGGGAGGAAUACCUGUGGCGAAGGCGGCCUACUGGGCCGGACCUGACGCUGAGACGCGAAGGCGAGGGGAGCGAACGGG
rnacentral:rRNA from 1 species